UUAGCAGUGGAGCCGCUUCAAUCAAGGAGCACGUCUCACAGCUGUUAUCCCUCGCCACCAUGAUGCACGCCAGCCGUUACCAUCUUUCUGCAAUAAAAGCAUGCAUCUAUAGCCAGAGGAGAGACAGGCAUGAGAGAGGGGGGGUUGAGACGAACGAAAAACGGAGGGGGAAGAGGGAGAAUAAAAAAGAAACAGAGAGAAGCAUUGGCCAGCCAACGCACGAGCAUCAGCUGCACCAGAAAGAAAAACAGAGGGGAGGGAACGACCGCAGAGAAACGAAAGGGAAGAAAAGCAGGGGAGGACAGAGGAGGAAAAAGGAAGGAGAAAGAAAGAAAAAGAACUAAAGAGAGUAGAAAGCACAAAAAAAAAAACAGAGACCAGAAGGAAAAGACAGACGCAAACCAGCUGAACAGAGAAAAAAACAGGGGAAGCACACAGAGGGAUGAAGAAAAAAUGAAGACUGGGAACUAACACAAAAAAAAAAAAACAGAGAAAAACUAGAAGAAAAAAGACACAGCGUUGAUCGUUUUCAUCGUCCCCAGAACCAGUCACCAGCGAUCCUGCGCAGCAGUUUCAUCGCCAUCGUCUUCGUCUGUCUCAGUUACCAGGUAAGCUUCAUACAUUUCUCUUCACGUUGCAUUUUUUCUGUCAUUGCAUGCAGAGUUUUAAGACCCGGACCGGCCAGCGGGCCGACCCGGGACCCGGCCGACCCGGGCCUGAGACUAGUCCGGAUGGAGGAAAAAACCCGUUUGGAAAUUGAUCCGGAAAAACCCGAUCAACCUAAUGGGUCGACUCGGGACCCGGUUAAACCCAGCUGAGGAGCAGAGGAUGUCUUGACUAUUGAUCGCUAUUGUUUCUCUGCGAAAAAGGUUUGAAUCUCCUUCUUUCACUCUCUGUUUUCUUUAUUCUUGACCGUUGAAACAAUUUGUUUUCGAAUAUGGAAUUAAGCACAAUGAUAGCAAAACACAACCAGUCAGUCGCCCCCCUCCCCCCUCAGUCUAUCGAACAGCUGAACUGCGUGCCUUGUCUCUUUCUGAUUUAACAAUGGGGGAGACCGACGUUUCUGCUCCCGGCGAGAAAACCAUAAGCAAAAAUGCACUGAAGAAGGAAUUAAAGAAUAAGAAGAAAGAAGAACAGAGACGCCAAAAAGAGACGUCCUCUGCUCAGUAAUAAGGAAUGAAGUGUCAGGUGUCGAUGGUGGCCGCGGAGAAAGUGCAGUGUCUUGUUGAUUUUGGGAUUAUCAUCCUGAAAAUGUCCUUUCAUCAAUGGAGACCAUCAUGUCCCUUGUCUUAAAAGAAAGUGAAGAUAUCUCUGUGGAAUAACGGUCACCCUUUUUAGCUAGUGUGAAAAAGGGUGAUGAGGAAGCUCUACCUGUUGCCCAAAAGUUGGGAGAGAAAGUACUUGAAACCUGUGCUACAAAGGUUAAACCUUACUUGAUACAGGCUGUGAAAUCUUUGGGUGUAUCUUUAGAGGACUACAACGAUAUUAUUGGUUCAAUGUGCCAAGAAAUCUCUGGUUCCAUUGAGCAGAAAGAUGUCCAUGCUGGUGAUGAAAAUAAGGUAAGCUGUUGUGCUACUAAAGAUAACAUUGUAGUUAUAGUGCUGAUUUAACCACUCAUUUAAUGGUGUAUCUUGUGCUGCCAUCAUUAAGCUGUAUUUAAUAUAUCUAGUGGCAUUGCUAUUUAUUUUCUACAGAUGAUUUAAUGAAGAUUCUCAACUGAUUUUUGCCACUUCAUUCCUUAUUACUGAAUUUGAAUUGAUUGAAUUGGCACAUCAUGGGACUGAAUAUUUACUUAACAAACUCUUUCUGAUGUUUUUUUAUAGGUGUUUUUUUGGGUUGACCAUCUAACCCGUGACCCGAUCACUUGACCGGGUCGAUGACCGGGUCGAGUUUCAAAACUAUAAAUGCAUGCAUUUGUUCUUUCAUUGUUAUGUUUUACUGUUCAAGUGAAUUAUAAUUCAGUUGAACAGUAAUGAUUGCUCUUUACUGUUCAAUUGAAUUAUAAUUCAUUUGAACAGUAGUUUGAGCAUGCACGCGUGAGGAAACUAACAUAUGCCUCUUAUCUGUCCAGCCAGGUCACUAGCCCAACUAGGUCCAGCCCAGCCAUAUGGUCCGGGCCGGGUUGGGUUCAGCCCGUAAAAAAAAUUCUUCAAAAAAUUAUUUCAAAAUUAUUUGUGAUUUUCCAUAAAUUUUUUUAUUGAAUUUUGAUUAGUAUUGGUUUGUAUUUUUAUACCGUAAAGAUACAAAUUCAAUAUUAAAAUACCUAAUAUUCAUCAAAACAUUGAAAAAAUAAAACAAAAUGUUUUUAUUUUCAAGCAUACGGCCAAGUAUCUUAAAAAAAAAUUAUAUUUUUCAUAUGAAAUUCAAAAAAUAGAUAUUAGCAUGUAUUUUUACUUUAAUAACCAGUUUAUUAAAGCCACGAGAACUAAGCCAAUAUUUCAAAAAUUCUAAAAAAAAAAUGCAUUUUGUUUUCUUUUAAUAUUAAAGAUUACGCACUUAUACGUAAGGCGUAGUCUCGAUAUUAAAAAGAUAGUUUUUUUAUUAACUUUAGAAUGGUUAGGUUUUUACCCGAUAAGAUAAGAACCUCCUUACCGAGGAGGACUUUUCUUAAAUCAUAAACGAACAAACAACUAGAAAACAUGACAAGACCUUAUAUUUUAUCAGACAAUAAAACAAUGCAGCUUACCUUAGGUAGGGUGUAUUUGGGGUACUAAUAUCUUCUUGUUACGUAAUCAGUCUUCGUACCCAAUCUCUAAGACUAGUUAGGGUUCUUAGUGACCAAAAUAUUAGGUCGCAACUUCCAUUCUUUUUUUUUACUAAUAGAAGACAAGAAUUUCUUAUCUCUCUAUAUUUACCUGAUAGAUAGAAGAUAAUAUAUAUAAGAGUAUAUAUUUUAUUUUCACGGGGAUGCCGCAUUAUGUGGAAGGGACAAUCUUAUAUAUUAAUUUCCUUGUUUUACAAUAAUACACAAUACCAUAUUAGAUUUCUUUACAUCAAAGUUUACCGUCAGCUUGACUCAUAACCCUUACAUUGACAUUAUUACACAACAACAACUUUUACUAGCAUCAUUUUUCUUUUAGUUAAAGUAUUAUUUAUUUUAUUUGACUCAUUCCCAGUCUUUUAACUUAGUCAAAUCUUUAAUUUUAUUUAAUAUGCUAAUAUUUUCCACAUUGCAUUGCAUAUACAACUUUUCAUAAUUCACAACUUACCACUUAAUUUCCAUAACUACCUUGAAAUUUCUAAACACACUAAGUCAACACAAUAUAUUAUAAUGAGUAUUCAUGCACUCAAUAAUUUUUAUCAAUAUCAAUUUUAAUUCUUUUAAUUUUGUUUUUACAAUAAUUAAAAUUUAAAUUAUACAAAAUUGUCGUACCAUUUAAUAUGCGAACAGUAUAAACAUAAACAAAAUUGUCGUACCAUUUAAUAAAGAAAAAUUAUAACACAACAUAAACAAGGGAUAAUUGCAUUAACAGUACACCAAUUUUACACCUUUUUAUCAAUCAAAUGCAUGAAUUUUAUUUUAAUUUUGUUUAAAUACACCAACUUAAUUAAGAAUUCUAAUCAAGCACUUUCAUCCAAACUCUGUUAGUUACUGCUUUUUUUUUGUAUACGUGUACUUUGGCAUUUAUUAAAAAACAUUGCAACAUUGAUAUACCAACUUUCAGUUUUCAUCAGUCAAGUAAAUAAACAUUUUUUUUCAUUAUAGUACACCAUUUUUCAAAAAUCUCAUACAAAAACAAGCUGAUUCCUUCUUUAAAUCUAAAUUUUAUUAAAAAUAUUCAAAAUAUCCAUCCCCAUAAAUCGGGAGUAAUAACCACUGGCCAGGAAAGGUGCCUUGGGCUCUGAAUUCUCACAACCACGGAGAUAGCUUUCAGAGACCGUUUAAAUAUAUAGAAUUAUAAAUCCAUAAGCAUACCAAGAUGGAUGGUAAGCAAUAAAACGUUGUGUAGGCGUCUAAAUCUUGAUUAUGAAGCUCCAAGCAUGUCUUUGGCUUUAUUCAAAUUAAAGACGAGGUUUCACUGAGGUUUAAACUUAUGGACUCGGGAUUGAUGGGGUAGAGAUCAUGGGCAGAUGUAGAGGAAUUUCCAAUCCAUGAUUUAUCAGAUGGAGGAAAGAGGUCUUGUGUGCUUUUUAAACUCUGGUCUGUGACCUGCUGAUAGUGGCCUUUGAGACGUUUGGAGUGUAAAUCAUCACCAUAAAUGCUAGGAUCUGAGGUCACCUCCUGGAUGCUGGUCUGUCCUUCAAGCAUGCUCACCACUUCUGACAUUGCAGGCCUUAGAGAUGGAGAUGCAUUGGUGCAUAAGAGAGCCAAUUUGAUCAUCCUCUCAGCCUCUUCCUUGUUGAAUUCAGACUGCAGCUUUGGGUCCACUAUCUCCAUUAAAUUUCCCUUUUUUUGCAAUACAUGGGCCUGUGACGACAAUUUCAAAGACAAAUAAGAAGGAAGCUAAGAUAUUUGACCAAAUGUACCAUGUUUUGCAUUGAGAACUGAUGCCUCAUGCGUCAAUGAUUCAGGAUAGCAACAGAAACAGACUGACGAUGAUUUACCCAGUCAAGAAGACAAACAUUUUCGUUCUCUGGCCUGUAACUUGAGUUGCUCUUUCCACUGACAAUUUCUAAGGCGACAACCCCAAAACUAUAAACAUCUGCUUUAUCUGUUAGAUAGCCCCACAGUGCAUAUUCUGGAGCCAUAUAUCCUCUGAAAUAUAUAUUUUUUUUUAAAAAAACAAUGCAGAAUUAGUGCCCUUCAGAGACUUGAGGAGUAUUACUAUCAAUAAAGUUCAGGAAUUAAAUUAGUCUCAAUACAACUUACAUAGUUCCAGCAACUCGAGUGCUAAUAUGAGUGUUCUCCUCUUCAUUGAGUUUGGCUAGACCGAAGUCUGAUAUCUUGGCAUUUAGAUCUUUGUCCAGUAAUACAUUUGUACCUUUGAUGUCCCUGUGAACAAUCCUGAUUGCAGAUCCUUCAUGGAGAAAUGCUAAACCUCUGGCUAUUCCAACACAUAUCUUAUACCUUGUAGGCCAAUCCAACGUCAGAAAACUUGUUUCGGAACC